rnacentral:rRNA from 1 species
UACGUAGGCAGCAAGCGUUGUUCGGAGUUACUGGGCGUAAAGGGUGUGUAGGCGGUUGGAUAAGUGUGGUGUGAAAUCUCCCGGCUCAACUGGGAGGGUGCGCUACAAACUGUCUGACUAGAGUGUGGGAUGGGUAAGUGGAAUUCCUGGUGUAGCGGUGAGAUGCGUAGAUAUCAGGAGGAACACCGGUGGUGUAGACGGCUUACUGGACCAUAACUGACGCUGAGACACGAAAGCGUGGGUAGCAAACAGG